GGGCCCGCACAAGCGGUGGAGUAUGUGGUUUAAUUCGAUGCAACGCGAAGAACCUUACCAGGGUUUGACAUCCUGCGAAUCUCUUGGAAACAGGAGAGUGCCUUCGGGAACGCAGUGACAGGUGGUGCAUGGCUGUCGUCAGCUCGUGUCGUGAGAUGUUGGGUUAAGUCCCGCAACGAGCGCAACCCACGUCUUUAGUUGCCAGCAUUUAGUUGGGCACUCUAGAGAGACUGCCGGUGAUAAACCGGAGAAGGUGUGGAUGACGUCAAAUCAUCACGGGCCCUUACGUCUGGGCUACACACGUGCUACAAUGGUCGGUACAGAGAGCAGCCACUACGCGAGUAGGAGCAAAUCUUCAAAGCCGAUCUC
rnacentral:rRNA from 1 species